rnacentral:lncRNA from 1 species
AUGCAUUGAUGUACUGUGAAUUGAUUUAUUUUCGUUGGUAUCAAUUUUCGUGGAUUAAGGAAUACGUGGAUAUUCAAUUUCGCGGUUUUGCCGAAGUCUGCAUACAGGCUUAUAGAGAAUUUGUUAUUCGUUGAACAUUUAAUUUCGUGGUUCACUUGUACCCACGAAAAUUGGUAUCCAACGAAUAAUAAUGAAUCUACAGUAACUAUGUCAUGCUAUGUUAAUUUAUUGUAAAUAUUGAUCCAAUUUUGGCCACUGUAUACCCCCUUUGGUUGACCCCAUUCUUAUAAGAUAACUACUUUCCCAUUUCUUAGUUCGUAUGUUAACAUGUACCA